rnacentral:rRNA from 1 species
UACGUAGGGUGCGAGCGUUAAUCGGAAUUACUGGGCGUAAAGCGUGCGUAGGCGGUUCGUUAAGUUCGUUGUGAAAGCCCCGGGCUCAACCUGGGAACUGCAAUGGAAACUGGCGGGCUUGAGUGUGGCAGAGGGGGGUGGAAUUCCGCGUGUAGCAGUGAAAUGCGUAGGGAUGCGGAGGAACACCGAUGGCGAAGGCAGCCCCCUGGGCCAACACUGACGCUCAGGCACGAAAGCGUGGGGAGCAAACAGG